AUAGAGCAAUUUAAUGAUUUCUUGCAUAGUUGUAAACCUAGGGCUCAAAAUGCAAACUUUCAAUAUAUGAGGGUUUGAUCUCAUUUGACCCUCCGUAAACCAAAUUGCUAGGUAACGAAACGCGUUGGCGAAGACGGUUCGGCAAUCCGACGAGCCGUUACAAAGUUAUUAAAGAAAUGGACGUUUAGGCUUCGGGUCCGCCGGGAGGGCCGAGGCGAUAUCGUAAAUUCAUGAAAAUGGAUUUGAAGCAUCGUGGCACAUAACCGAAGACCUUUAAUUUUCGGAUCGUGAAUUGGAGGCCGUUCGGGUGGUCGCGUGAGAGAUCGGGCCAAACCGGGUGCCGGGUGCCGCGGGAGGCCGAUUGCAAGUGUCGACAAGCAAUCGGAAUGCGAAAUGAGGUGGGUUGUGCUUACCGAAGCGACUAGGUCGCCCUUUAUGUCUAAGAAAUGAGAUUUCAUAUUGAUGCAUAUUGACAUAAUAUAAGAAUGUGAAAAGAAUGCAUGUUAACAUACUAUAGAAAUGCUAAAUGUAAUGCAUAAUGAAUUAAGUGCUAAAAGAAUGCAUGAGAUGCUAAGUAUGGACUAUUUUGGAUAAUGACUAUAUGUAUGUUGACAAAUCAUGUGAUGCUAGUGGUAUAUGUGCAUGAUGAUAUAUUAUGAAUUUACAUAUUGUGGAUUAUGUUAAAUAGAAAAACAUACUUGAUGACAUAUUGCCAUGUUGUGGAACAUAGUGGACAAUCUAUAUAUAUAUUAGAUCGAGUGGCAUUAAACCUAGCAUCUUGAACCUAGCAAACACUUGUGGUGAUUGAUCAUAUAUAUUCUGGUGUCAUUCAUGUAUGUUAGGACCCUAUUAUUGUGUAAAUGUGAGAGUUGGACUUGAACAUUAGUAAACAAGGGUGACAAUGACAAUAGAGACAUGAUUGGCAUCAAGAAAGUGAUUGUUAAACAUAGUUUAACCAUAUUGACAUUGGUCCAAGUUGACAUAGAGUGGCAUGAUUAAAUAGGUAGAAACCUAUUGUGACAUUGGCAUUGUGACUAGUGGCUAUGUAUCCUCAAGUUGAGGAUUGGAUCGAUACUCACGAUAAGUCUUGGCUUGAGGGAGGUAGCUCCCCCUCGGGCGGUGCGCUCCGGAGUUGGUCACCACUGGGCGUGGUAAAGUCCCACCAGUUGACGGUCCCUAGGGAGGUUCGAGUCCCCCGUUAUUAAGGGAUUUGGUUGUGAGUUAUUGGGGUUAACAUGGUUAACCGGUAAGAUUGGGUCAUAGCCAAAUGAGUGUACAACAAGUAUGCAUUAUGAGUUAUGGAUUUGGUAUCCUAGUCGAGAGGAUUUAGGGCUGAGGUGUAUGUGAGACGUCCAUCGCCUCGAGCCUGGUUCUAGUGCGGUACUCCGCAGACGAUUGACUCAAGACCGAGUCGGGUGGUUAGCCUUGUAAAGGUAGAUGAAACUUUAUGAUUAAAACGGUGAUUGACAAGAAUCUAAGAUAGAGGAAACCUUAGAUAUCGAAUGGAUGAGCUAUGGUUAGCAGAAUUGAAAGUAGUAUCGAAUGAACUACUAGUUGGUUGCAUAGUUGCAUUAUUGCAUGAUUUGCAUAUAGCAUUGCAUUAUUGCAUUCGUGAGGCAAAGCAUGGUUUUAUUAGUUGCAUAAUAAAGAUAUAUAUCUAUCUGUUUAUUGAACUAACUUGCAGUUGCCUCCCUUGGACCUAUUGGUCGAGCUCUUCCCUUGGGUGGCCGUACCCACUGGGAACCAUGGAGUUGGUUCUCACCCCACGUGGUUUUGGGGUUUUUACAGGUUCGCACGUGAGCGGCGCGGCAGCGCGAGGAAAGGGCGUAGCUCCGUAGAUAGCGCCCUACCCCAGAGACCAGAGCUAGCAGUACCCCGUCGACAUAGCUUAGGGGUUAAAGAAAUGAAAAGAACACAAUGUAACAUGAUGUAUUAAAGAUAUAAAUGUUGUAAUAAUCUAGAUUGCAUUUGGAUGAAAAAGGAAUGGUACUUGAGGUGUAAAAUGCAUGAAUAUGAAUGAAUGUAAUAAUAUAGGAUGUGUUUAUGUUGUUUGAUACCUUCCAUUAUUGCAAUCUUGAUUGAAAUGUGUUCCUGGU
rnacentral:lncRNA from 1 species